UUCGAGCGUAUGUUUGUUUGGGUGGAAGUUGAGAGAGAAGUGGAGAGGGAGAAGUCGUUUCGUCAUAAACGAUCAUUUUCGUUGUGUGGUUCGCCGUAAAAAGAUUACGGUCGAAACACGAGUUAAUCUGAAACGAUAUAAUUUACUUGGGCCGAAGUCAAUUGCGAUGAAGGAAGGUGAAGUUAAAAAAUAAUAAAAUAAUAUGCUAGGUAAAGUUAUUUAUAUUUAAAUUUAUUUAAUUAUGGUACUAAUUAUUUUUUUAUUCAUUUGGCAUAUUUAAAAUAUGAUACAAAUUGAUUAAUUAGGUAUUAAUAUUAUUUUUUUUUUGUAAUUGUAUUGGUGUAUUUUGCUAGGUAAAGUUAUUUAUAUUUAAAUUUAUUUAAUUAUGGUACAAGUAGAUUUUUUAUUCAUUUGGCAUAUUUAAAAUAUGAUACAAAUUGAUUAAUUAG
rnacentral:lncRNA from 1 species